rnacentral:rRNA from 1 species
UACGUAGGGUGCAAGCGUUAAUCGGAAUUAUUGGGCGUAAAGCGCGCGUAGGCGGCUACCUAAGUCGGAUGUGAAAGCCCCUGGCUUAACCGGGGAAGUGCACCCGAAACUGGGUAGCUAGAGUGCAAAAGAGGGUCGCGGAAUUCCCAGUGUAGAGGUGAAAUUCGUAGAUAUUGGGAGGAACACCGGUGGCGAAGGCGGCGACCUGGGUUGACACUGACGCUGAGGCGCGAAAGCGUGGGGAGCAAACAGG